AGAGCCCUGGGAUGUCCGUAUCCUCCAAAGUUUUGAGCCAACACCUUUUUUUCGGGAGCUUGCGUCACGGGUGAGCGCAGAUGCCCUUAUGGGACCUGUUAACAUUCGUGCAGAGCACCCACCUGCGAGAGCAGGUUCAAAACUGAGGAGACCACGGCAUAAAUGGGGCUCUU
rnacentral:other from 1 species